ACACAAAAUCCAUGGUAGCUAAAAGUCCACCCUCAGCCAAGAACCUCCAUACACAUCUCCUUCUCCAUGUAUGAUACCCAAUUGCUUCUCUUUAAAAACAUGACCUACAUGCCUACCCACUCUAUUUUCUGCCCAUUACCAAAAGCCCUACUGUUCUAAAUCUUCCCUGCCACACACAAGCUCUUGCACCACGGUUAAAGCCAACUCAAGCCAGCUGCACGGUGCACAAGCCAGCCACUGAACCCAAGCUUCUAUUUUAGGUUAGCGAUUAUGAUCGGAGGUGGGACACGUCCUUUACAAUACCCUUCUUACUAUUUAUGUAAAAAAAUAUGUUAUUUUGCAAAAUCAUACUACAUAUGUAUGUGUUUUAAAUGAUAUCUGUGUAAGCCUAUUCUUUGGUAACCCAUUUUACAUGUACCCUCUUAUUAUUAUUAUGAUGCCAAAUUUGAAUGAAAUGGAUGUUUCAGGUUACCUAUGUAUCUAUAUAGUAUCACUAUGUAUUAAAUGAAUGAAAGGCAAGGAAAGGAAGAGCAUAAUGGGAAAAAUAAAACAAUGAAUGACUGCAUGAGGUAAAUGUUUUAAUAAAAAGGGCCAUGGCCCAUGACAGAGGAAAUGGUGCCAGAAUUGAAGGGCAGAUUGCAACGCCGGAAUGCAUCACUAGCAGUGCACCUAGUGAUGGUCAUUCUUGUGGGAGGCUAGUUUCUUACCCAUUAGCUCCAAAAGGAGCCAAUAUUGCAUAGAUUCCUAUCCCUAACACACUGGGGUAAUGAUGUGUAUGGGGCCAUAUACAAUUUAAAGCAAUGCUGUCACAUAAUGUGACUCUGAAUGUUAAUUUAUGAUGGAAAACCUAUAUCCUUAUAUGGUUACCAUGAAAUAGUUCCUAACUAAGCAUUCGACUCAUUUUGUUUUAGUUGUGCGAAUGUCCCAGGUAAUAAUCAAUGUGAGGAAAAUGCUGCAUGACAGGAUUUGGUUCAGGUAGAAAAGUUAAGAGGCCUGGUUAUUUAUGGAAAAUCUUAGUUCAUGUUUUCAUUUAUUAAUAAGUUAUUAGCAAAAGAUUGUUUUUUUUUAGUUUUAGAAUCUUUUAUACUUGGAUCUUAAGAAAUUUUUUAAAGGUGUGUAGCAUUCCAACCCUCAUCUUUUUCUAAAACUAGUAUAUUCUUAAACCCUAGAGGAAUAGGGGUGUUACAAAAAAGUUUCACAAUUGUCCAUAGUAUAAAUAUUUGAAGUCAGUCAUAUACAUAUACGUAGUUGCAAUGGAAUGGAUCUCAUACAAGAGAAUCAUAAAAUUACCUUGUAAACUGACCCAAAACCACCUUCCCCAAGUUUGUUUGCUAGAUUGAAGUUCUUGGUAGCAGCUCUGAUUUGUCGUAAUGUAAAUAAUCCUGUUUGCAGGUCAAUGCCUCUAAGCUCUGUCCAGAAUCAGUAUUGAAUGUCAAUAGAGAGAAGAUACCAUAAACUGUUUUGUUAUAUUCUUUUGCCAACUUGCAUUGAAUGUUGCUUCAAAAGGAAAAGAAAAAAGAUGAAUUUGAACUUUCACGACCAUAUGUGGAAUAUGGACACAUUAUAUCAGAUACACAAGUAAAAACUAUGCUAAUAGCUUUUUCUCAUGAAUUUAGCAUACACUGCAAGUAAGUGAUCUCACUUUUCUCAAAAAAUCAUGAUAAUGAAAAUUGUUGGUGAAAUUUUAAGACCGCCUGCAUAUGCAGAAAAGACAAAAAUAUUUCUUUUUUAAUCUUUCAGUGGAACUAAAUGCACUCAAAUGAUACAUUAAGACAGAUUUUUAAGGACUGUUUACAGUCAAGCAAAUGUGGACUGCCAUAUGCUUGACCUGGUUGUGCUGGUCAUAUGAUUUACAGAAGCCUAAGGGGAAUAUUGGAAGCUGAUAUGUCAAUGUGGCUGAAAUAAUUCCAUGACCCAUUGAAAUUGGAGAUGGUGAAACUGUGAUGAAAUGCACUAAAUGAGACAUCGUCUCCCAUCCAGCCUUUCCUCCACAUUACAAAUAAGGUGAGAAGACCGAGAAGUACUACUGCAGCCACAACCACUAUUAUCAAAUGAUCUUUGUUGUCACCAUCUGAUGGAGGUUCAAAAUCUGGAAGACAGGAAUUAUUUCAAGUCAACAAAAUGAAAGGAAAAAUCAAUCCAGUUAAAGGCGGACCGAAAUGACCUAGUCUUAUAAGCAAAUCCCAAACUCAUUGGGCUUUACUUUUGUUUACAAAUCAAUAUUCGUUUGAUAACAGUUUAAUUGUUAAAAUUCAAACUUCUUUUUCCAAA